CAAUAGCGUAUAUUAAAGCUGUUGCGGUUAAAAAGCUCGUAGUUGGAUUUCUGUCAAGGACAACUGGUCCGCCCUCCGGGUGAGCACAUAGUUUGGUCUUGGCAUCUCGCUGGAAACUGUUGCUGCACUUGACUGUGUGGCGCAGCGUCCAGCACUUUCACUUUGAGGAAAUUGGAGUGUUUCAAGCAGGCACAUGCCUUUGGACACAGUAGCAUGGAAUAAUUAGAUUGGGCUUUUGCUCCAAUUUGUCGGUUUCUGGAGCUGAGGUGAGAAUUAAUGGGGAUUGUUGGGGGCAUCCGAAUUUAGCCGUCAGAGGUGAAAUUCUUGGAUCUGCUAAAGACGGACAACUGCGAAAGCGUUUGCCAAGGAUGUUUUCAUUGA
rnacentral:rRNA from 1 species